rnacentral:rRNA from 1 species
AUGAGGGUUUGAUCCUGGCCCAGGAUGAACGCUGGCGGCGUGGAUAAGGCAUGCAAGUCGAACGAACCCUUCGGGGUUAGUGGCGAACGAGUUAGUAACGCCUUGGUACUUACCGUAUAGUCAAGAAUAACUAGCCGAAAGGUUGGCUAAUACUUGAUAGUCUCGAAAGAGUAAAGGAGCAAUUCGCUAUACGAUAGGCCUAGGUCCUAUCAGCUAGUUGGUGAGGUAAUAGCUCACCAAGGCUACGACGGGUAGGGGGAGUGAGAGCUUGACCCCCAACGACGGCACUGAGACACGGGCCGUACACCUACGGGUGGCAGCAGUCGAGAAUAUUCCACAAUGGGUAAACUGCUUUUCUAGGAGAAAAAGUCUGGCCAAUUGUGCUCGCUAACUUCGGUUAGUGGGUGCAAUUGGCUAGAUUGAUGGUACCUUAGGAAUAAGGGGUUGCUAACUUCGUGCCAGCAGCAGCGGUAAUACGAAGACCCCGAGCGUUAUCCGGAUUUAUUGGGCGUAAAGAGAGAGCAGGAGGUUUGGUGCGUCUGUUGUUAAAUCCCACCGCUCAACGGUGGAACUGCAAUGGAUACGAUCAAACUAGAGGAUACUAGAGGUUACUGGAACACACGGUGUAGGGGUGAAAUCCGUUGAUAUCGUGUGGAACACCAAAGGCGAAGGCAUGUAACUGGAGUAUUCCUGACUCUGAGUCUCGAAAGCGUGGGGAGCAAAAAGGAUUAGAUACCCUUGUAGUCCACGCCGUAAAUGAUGUCUACUAGCUAUCGGAAGUAUCGACCCUUUCGGUGGCGAAGCUAACGCGUUAAGUAGACCGCCUGGGAAGUACGAGCGCAAGCUUAAAACUCAAAGGAAUAGACGGGGACUCGCACAAGCGGUGGAUCAUGUGGUUUAAUUCGAUGGUACACGAGGAACCUUACCAGGGCUUGUACCCUAUUGAAGUCAGAUGGAAACGUUUGAUGCCUGAGAUUUAUCUUUGGCAAUAGGGCAGGUGCUGCACGGUCGUCGUCAGCUCGUGGCGUGAGCUGUUCCCUUAAGUGGGGUAACGAGCGCAACCCUCGUCCUGUGUUACAAGUGUCACAGGAGACUGUCCGCUUUAAGCGGAAGGAAGGUGGGGAUGACGUCAGAUCAGCGUGGCCCUUUGAUGCCCUGGGCUACACACAUGAUACAAUGGUCAAGACAAAGGGUUGCCAAGCCGUAAGGCGGAGCUAAUCUCAAAAACUUGGCCUCAGUUCGGAUUGAGGGCUGAAACUCGCCCUCAUGAAGUUGGAAUCGCUAGUAAUCGUGAAUCAGCCAUGUCACGGUGAAUACGUUCUCGAGUCCUGUACUCACCGCCCGUCACACCAAGGGAGCUGGUAGCGGAUAGAGUCUCACCUAGCGUGGGAUGAGUUCGAGAUCAGUGACAGGGGUGAAGUCGUAACAAGGCACGCGUAGCGGAAGCUGUGCGUAGAUUA